rnacentral:rRNA from 1 species
UACGUAGGGGGCAAGCGUUGUCCGGAAUUAUUGGGCGUAAAGCGCGCGCAGGCGGUCCUUUAAGUCUGAUGUGAAAGCCCACGGCUUAACCGUGGAGGGUCAUUGGAAACUGAGGGACUUGAGUACAGAAGAGGAGAGUGGAAUUCCAUGUGUAGCGGUGAAAUGCGUAGAUAUAUGGAGGAACACCAGUGGCGAAGGCGACUCUCUGGUCUGUUACUGACGCUGAGGCGCGAAAGCGUGGGGAGCAAACA